AGUGAACGCUGGCGGUAGGCCUAACACAUGCAAGUCGAACGGCAGCACAGUAAGAGCUUGCUAUUACGGGUGGCGAGUGGCGGACGGGUGAGGAACACAUCGGAAUCUGCUUUUUCGUGGGGGAUAACGUAGGGAAACUUACGCUAACACCGCAUACGACCUACGGGUGAAAGCAGGGGAUCUUCUGACCUUGCGCGAUUGAAUGAGCCGAUGUCGGAUUAGCUAGUUGGCGGGGUAAAGGCCCACCAAGGCGACGAUCCGUAGCUGGUCUGAGAGGAUGAUCAGCCACACUGGAACUGAGACACGGUCCAGACUCCUACGGGAGGCAGCAGUGGGGAAUAUUGGACAAUGGGCGCAAGCCUGAUCCAGCCAUACCGCGUGUGUGAAGAAGGCCUUCGGGUUGUAAAGCCCUUUUAGUGGGAAAGAAAAGUAUCAGGUUAAUACCUCGCUGUUCUGACGGUACCCAAAGAAUAAGCACCGGCUAACUUCGUG
rnacentral:rRNA from 1 species